GCGGCGGGAUACGUUUUCAGGGACCAAGGUUGAGAGGUUCAGGGCUGUGCUUGGAGCAUCGACGCCACACAUUCACCAUCCAUUCCUGUCACGAACAGGCAAUUCCAUCCUCAGGCAGCUCAAGUGGACGAAGUUCUCCAUGUGCCUGGUGGGUUUGGGGGAAUCAAACAAGCCCGCUUUUUCUCGGA